CAGGACGACGCUGGCGGCGUGCUUAACACAUGCAAGUCGAACGGGAGUAUUGAAGAAGCUUGCUUUAGAGAUACUUUAGUGGCGGACGGGUGAGUAACGCGUGAGGAGCUGUCCUAUGCAGGGGGACAACAGCUGGAAACGGCUGCUAAUACCCCAUAAGCCGAGAGGUAAAAGGAUCAAUCCGGCAGAGGAGGUACUCGCGUCCUAUCAGCUAGUAGGUGAGGUAACGGCUCACCUAGGCGAAGACGGGUAGCCGGCCUGAGAGGGCGAACGGCCACACUGGAACUGAGAUACGGUCCAGACUCCUACGGGAGGCAGCAGUGGGGAAUAUUGGGCAAUGGGGGGAAACCCUGACCCAGCGACGCCGCGUGGGUGAAGAAAUCCUUCGGGAUGUAAAGCCCUGUUGUAUGGGAAGAGCGGAAGACGGUACCAUACGAGGAAGCCCCGGCAAACUACGUGCCAGCCGCCGC
rnacentral:rRNA from 1 species